rnacentral:rRNA from 1 species
UACGUAGGGGGCAAGCGUUGUCCGGAUUUACUGGGCGUAAAGAGCGCGUAGGCGGAAAUUUAAGCGUGGCCUGAAAGCCCCCGGCUCAACCGGGGAGUGCGGCUGCGAACUGGGUUUCUUGAGGACGAUAGAGGAGAGUGGAAUUCCUGGUGUAGCGGUGAAAUGCGUAGAUAUCAGGAGGAACACCCGAGGCGAAGGCGGCUCUCUGGGUCGUACCUGACGCUGAGGCGCGAAAGCGUGGGGAGCGAACAGG